GUCCCAGUUGCCCCGAGUCUGCCCGAAUUCCAGCAUCCCAGCUUCCUCGCCCUCCUCGAAGCUGCGGCGGGGAAAAAGGACACGAAAAGCGAGGGGCACCAGCAGGCCUGCACCCCUGGGCCCGCCGAAGGGCUCCCUAGAGCCAGAAAAGGAACAAUAGCAGACCCUCGGUCGCCGGAGCCAUCCGGAGUCUCCCGCUUGCGCCUCCCUCCCCAGCUCCUCCAAGUUCUGCGCGGAGGCGGCUCGAGCCCAGAAGUCAGGAGACGGGGGGCAACGCGGGCCUGCGAGUGGCGGGGGGGGGGGGNGGGCGCGGGCAGGAGAAAAGCCCGCUCCCAACUUGGCCCGGUUUUCCCUCUUCCUCGUCUCCCCACAUCCUCCUCUCCCUCCGCAGACAGUUGGCGGCCGGCGGCAGACAAGGGAGUGGUAGCGGGACCCUCGCUGCCACCCCAAGCCGCUCCGCCCGGCGCGCCUUCCCUCGCCCGAGCCCCAGACACAAAGGCCGGGCGGCGAGCCGGGACCCCGCUCCGCGGAGCCUCCCGACUCUCGGCGCCGCGCACUUACCCCAUCGAGGCGAAGGCUCCCGGGCCCCGCCGGCUGCGCCACUCCGCCCGCCGCUUCCCCAGGAAAACGCGGCCGCCGGGCUCGCUUCCUGCUCCGCUUCCUGCGCCUCGGUCCCUCCUCCUCCCCCCGCUGCGGGGGUCAGUGGGCGCCGCGGCUCCCGGGCUGGGCGGGAGGGGCGGGGGCAGCGGCAGCACCACCACGUGGCCUCCCGACGCCGGCCCCCGCCGACCUGGAUCCCGCGGGAGCGAGAAGGGAGGUGCUCGCNGGAUCCCGCGGGAGCGAGAAGGGAGGUGCUCGCCUCUCCCCUCCCCUUCCACCCCGCGCGGCCCCAAAUUCCGCGAGUCAGGUGACCCGGCCCCGCGCCCGGGCCGAGACUUGCGGGAGGUGCUCGCAACCGCACCGGCGCGGCCGCCACCCCUGAGCCCGCAAGCCUCGGGCGUUCGUGGUUGGCUUUUAGUGCCCAGCGAUCGUGGACCUUUCCCCGCGGAUGGGUUUCAUCAUCAUCACCUGAAGUUAGUGGGCAACACCGUCGCUCUAACCCCAGCAUUUAGGACCGAAUUAUUGAACAGAAAGUAAACCGGAAUCCGCUUGUUCUCUGGACGGACUGAACCAAGUGGUUGGAGUGACUGCUAACACUCAUCAGGUGGCAACAGAAGCUACUGGCGUGAAGCGUGGUUCGGUUCAGGAGUUGGGAGAAAUCUACCGCCUGAACUGAGAGGCACGGAUGGGGGACGCCCCCCAGAGUCGCGUCCGGGAUGCAAGGAGGGAAGGCCAUACUCCCCCACCCCCCACCCCAGGACCCCGCGGCGUGUCACUCUUCCCCAGCCCGCUAAAACCGGCCUUUGAAUCUUAAUGGACUCCUCCUGUAAUUCCAAGGAUUUCAAGCUCUCCACCUCCUCGUUUCAUUUGGGACUGCUUUUCUAUUCAUUCGAGACAGGCUAACCAGCUAUGGCUUAGAAAGUUAUUCACCCAAGUCCCUCCCGUCUCCGGGUCAGCUCUGCAUCCUUAGGCAGGGCAGGAAGCUUUCUAGAGUAAAUGACAUUAAGUCCGUUUUGAUGGGAUCAACUCUAAGUCAUUUGAACUUAAAAAAAAAAAAAAAUCCAUUCCAACGGAAGUGAAAUUCACCCUAACAGUUGAGUGUGUAAGGUCUUAGCUGCAUCUUGACGGUCUACACGUUAGAAUUUAUCUGUCUCCCUCCUUCCCCAGGGGUACAGCCUGUCUGUUUUAACAGGUAACUUAUCAAACAGGGAGCAAAAGCUCUGUAACUAUGAACUAUGAAGUAACUGUGCAGCGUGGCCUUCCUAAAUCAUACAUCAGAGAUUCUUUUGAAAAGUGAUGAAUAGCCCGUUUAAAGCAAGCCAUACACUCCUCUUCCUGUCCCUUAUCCCUCUCAAAUGAAAUGACACUAAAAGAAAUGUGAGCUUGCAAACUUCUUGUUUGUUUAAUGCUGGCCAUGUCUACAACACAGUUUUUCAUCAUGGUUCAUAUUAAUGGUGUACCACUUGUGUGUUUUCUGUUCUAACAGCUCAGUCUGCAAGCAGGGGCAGCUGGAGAGGUGGGCUUGGGAGCGAGGUGCAGGGUACACCGUGCCAGCUUCGAAAGCGAACACGUGCGUGUUCUGCAGGAAUGGUUGACAAGUCGAAGGAGUUUAAUACCAAGCAGCUUUAAACAAUUUUUUUUUUCUUUUACACCCGGUGCCCUGUCCCAGCCACUUACCUCUGAGCCUACCUGACUGUGUCAGCUCGGUGGCUCUUGUUGGUGGCUUGUGUGCUUAUUCUCCCUGAUUUAUAAUUCCACCCUCAGACAUGAGCAAGUCCAACUCUGGGUGGGGGUUGCUGUGGAGGGAAGGACUCUUAGAGUUAGGCUGAUGUGCCAAGAUUCUUUUCCAGAUCCCUCCUCCUCUGAAACUCAAACAUCUCCUUCAGACCACAGCUGAAGUCAUGCUACCUGCAGAGGAAUUGAUGGUCAAGUACAGGAUUGAACAGUCUUCUUGUUGGUUUGGUUUGGCUUGUUUUUUCCCCAGGCCUUUUAGAAAUGCUAACUCAUUCAGGAUACAUUGAGCACACCCUUUAAUGGAGACCAGGCCCGUGUAAAAAGGUUUGAGAGAAGGCAACAAGAAUAAAAUGAUCAUCUAAACUUCAUAGAAAGUUGUUAAAACUUUUUUUGGGAGGGACAGCAUGUUGUAUUUUAAUAGGUGAAUUAUGUCCAAUCAAGGUAACUGUAAUAAGAACAAAGCGACCAUGUUCCCACUACCUCUUUUACUAACUUGCCAUUUGAACUUCGCCAAGCCUUUGAACCUCUCCUGGUCCCCCUUUUCCUAAUCAGUAAAAAAAGAACAUUGAACUACAUGGCCUCUGAGAAUUCUUUCAGCUUUAGCAUCCUAAACCCAUUCUCUUAAUCUGAGGAGCCAUCACCAAGAGUAUUAUCUUUACAUUCUAUGGCAGAGCAUCAUUCUUUAAUUGUUCUAGCAGGUCCAUCUUCUCGACCUAUGAGACUGUAAAUUCCUGAGUGUUGCCAUCCAGGAUUUAGCAGGGUCCAUGAAAGGAAUUGAUUGGUAGAGCCAAAUUUUCAUUUUCGAAAUUAAAAAAUAUCGCGUCCCUUCUUUUUUGCUCCAUCUCUUAUCAAUUUUGUUUCUCCCCAUGUUAGGAACUUUUUAAGUCUGGGGAACCAAGGCUAAGACUAGUUUGAGUAACAAGAAACUGUCCCUAAUAGAGGAAAUAGAGGUAGGUGUCACAUCAGAGCCAAAAAGUAACCCUUUGCUUUAUUUGGCUUUUGGUCAGAAUCUGACUGCACUUCUGGGGCUCGUUAGAAGCAGCGUGAUUUACAGGAAUGUGACGAUAUUGGCCCCAGUCCAGAGAAUGGAAUUAAAACACAAUCAGAAGGUUGAAGGGAGAUGAUCUACAGAAAAAAACAAAAAACCCCAAAUAUUCAUAGAACAACCCCUAUUUGUGUUUUCUUUGGGAUGUUUCCAAAUAGGAAAUUGUGAAAUGGGAGAAGUUCAUAAAACAACCUUAGCAUAGCAUCCUAAUAAUUUAAUGAGACCAUGGUAAUAAAGUAGACUAGAAACACGGAGCGCUUGAGAUGUCAUUAGUCCAAACUGAGAUGUGCUGUACAUGCAAAAUAUAUACCAGAUUUCAAAGACGUAGGAUGGGGAGAAAAAAAGGUACCUCACUAAUAAUUUUUAUAUUAAUCACAUAUUGAAAUGCUAGUAGUUUGGAUGUAUUAGAAUAAAUAUAUUAACACUA
ensembl:lncRNA